rnacentral:lncRNA from 1 species
UUUCAAAACUUUAAAAAUAAAUUUUAUUCCAACUCCUCUCUACAUAAUUAGGCCCUUUUAUUUUAUACUCAGUAAUUUAACUUGGUGCUAGAAUAAUUUCAGUAAUCACAUAUUUACUAUUAAAAGACAUAUUAAUAUCCCAAUAAUAUGCCAAUACAAACACUCCAAAAAAUUUUAUCCAAGAGUUCUAAACUAAAAUAAAUCAUGUAGGCACAGUGAAAGAGUGAGAAAACAGAACCUAUAGUAAUGAGAAACAGUACCAAAAUCUCAACAUGAAGAAAGCAACCCAUUGAAACAUGAUUUAAUGACUGAAAAUACACAUGAGGAUGGCCAUAAAUAGUAAGGAGAUUGUCGGAGGAGUGACUGGAAUAUCAAUGGACAUCACAUGCACAGUGUCAUGGAAUAAGUGAUUCAAUACUCGAAUUUCACUUCAACCGUGCGGCAAUUAGUUGCACGAACUAAGUUCAGCAUUUUCAAUAGCUCAAAACAAGAGUUG